GGUUGUAACUCAGUGGAAGAGUACUUGCCUAGCAUGCACAAGGCCCUGGGUUUGAUUCCCAGUAUCACCA
rnacentral:tRNA from 1 species